rnacentral:rRNA from 1 species
UACAGAGGGGGCAAGCGUUGUUCGGAAUUACUGGGCGGAAAGGGCGCGUAGGCGGCCUGCUAAGUCGAACGUGAAAUCCCUGGGCUCAACCCAGGAACUGCGUCCGAUACUGGUUGGCUUGAAUCCGGGAGAGGGACGUGGAAUUCCAGGUGUAGCGGUGAAAUGCGUAGAUAUCUGGAGGAACACCGGUGGCGAAGGCGACGUCCUGGACCGGCAUUGACGCUGAGGCGCGAAAGCUAGGGGAGCAAACGGG